GGCGUCGUGGACGACACCGAGCACCCGCGGCCCCGUCAUCACACCUAGAGGCAGCUGCUUCAUGUGGAAGCCCGAUCGAGCUUCCAGGACGCCGUCAAUCACCGCGCGCCAGGCAACUGACGAAAGGAAAGAGAUGAGGACUUUUCUGCAGGGCUGGUAGACAUCUUGAGAAUAAUACACUGCCUGAGAAGCUGAACUUGUAAAGAAAGACUUCGGUACACACCAGUAGAUGGCCUUCUUAAGAGAACCUACCAUGAAUGUUUAAGAUGACAGCACGUAAAUGGACAGAUUCAGACUUCAGCAGGCUGCUGUAGGAGCGUGGUGCGAUGUUACGCAGGGACAGUUUUCUGACUCCAGGCGCCAUGGAGGACGAUCCCUCCUCUGACCCUCCUGACAGCCGCCUUGCCUGGACUAAGAAAAAGG